rnacentral:rRNA from 1 species
ACGCUGGCGGCGUGCCUAAUACAUGCAAGUAGAACGCUGAAGGAGGAGCUUGCUUCUCCGGAUGAGUUGCGAACGGGUGAGUAACGCGUAGGUAACCUGCCUGGUAGCGGGGGAUAACUAUUGGAAACGAUAGCUAAUACCGCAUAAUAGUAGAUGUUGCAUGACAUUUGCUUAAAAGGUGCAAUUGCAUCACUACCAGAUGGACCUGCGUUGUAUUAGCUAGUUGGUGGGGUAACGGCUCACCAAGGCGACGAUACAUAGCCGACCUGAGAGGGUGAUCGGCCACACUGGGACUGAGACACGGCCCAGACUCCUACGGCAGGCAGCAGUAGGGAAUCUUCGGCAAUGGACGGAAGUCUGACCGAGCAACGCCGCGUGAGUGAAGAAGGUUUUCGGAUCGUAAAGCUCUGUUGUAAGAGAAGAACGAGUGUGAGAGUGGAAAGUUCACACUGUGACGGUAUCUUACCAGAAAGGGACGGCUAACUACGUGCCAGUAGCCGCGGUAAUACAUAGGUCCCGAGCGUUGUCCGGAUUUAUUGGGCGUAAAGCGAGCGCAGGCGGUUAGAUAAGUCUGAAGUUAAAGGCUGUGGCUUAACCAUAGUACGCUUUGGAAACUGUUUAACUUGAGUGCAAGAGGGGAGAGUGGAAUUCCAUGUGUAGCGGUGAAAUGCGUAGAUAUAUGGAGGAACACCGGUGGCGAAAGCGGCUCUCUGGCUUGUAACUGACGCUGAGGCUCGAAAGCGUGGGGAGCAAACAGGAUUAGAUACCCUGGUAGUCCACGCCGUAAACGAUGAGUGCUAGGUGUUAGACCCUUUCCGGGGUUUAGUGCCGCAGCUAACGCAUUAAGCACUCCGCCUGGGGAGUACGACCGCAAGGUUGAAACUCAAAGGAAUUGACGGGGG